rnacentral:rRNA from 1 species
CCCUUAGAUGUCCUGGGCUGCACGCGCGCUACACUGGAAGUUACGGAUUGAGAUACUACCUUGUCCGAAAUGGUCCGGGUAAUCACCUAAAAGCUUGUCAUAAUUGGAAUGGAUUAUUGUAACUAGUAAUCCUGAACGAGGAAUUCCUAGUAAGUCCCAGUCAACAGCUGGUACUGAUUACGUCCCUGCCCUUUGUACACACCGCCCGUCGCUACUACCGAUUGGACGUUUAAGCAAGAUUUUUAAACACUGACAGUGUGUAGUUCACGCUAUACUACAGUGAGAAGAAGAAGAUCGAGCUUACUUGUCUAGAGGAAGUAAAAGUCGUAACA